AUUUGAAUUAACCACUGUCAAAGACUGUAGUGACACAGAUCAAAUGUCAAACAAUGUAGCCCAAGCCCAGCCCCCUUCUUUCAAAUCUAAAUUUAGCAAAUAUCUUUCAAUAUUACACUUUUCUCCUUUGAAACUUGAAGGCUUUGGGCAUUUAAGAAUCAGUGUUUCAGCUGCAAUGCUUCUGAGAGGAAGGGAGAUUUUCAAAGAGCCUUUGUCAGCCCAGGAGUGAGUGAGUUAAUCCAUCCACCUGCCCCAACUGAGAGCAGAAGACACUGUUUAUAGGACUGAAGACAGAGGUGCUGGGUGCAAGGACUGAGACUAAGAAUGGAAAUGCGAGAACCAGGAUUCAGGGGGUGCAGCGACAAGAACUGCAAGGUGCUGCUCCCUCCCGUGACUCCUAAGCUGCUAGACGAGAGCUGUGCUUCUCCUAUCUAGGUCUCAA
rnacentral:lncRNA from 1 species